rnacentral:rRNA from 1 species
UACGGAGGGUGCAAGCGUUAAUCGGAAUUACUGGGCGUAAAGCGCACGUAGGCGGCUUGUUAAGUCGGAUGUGAAAGCCCCGGGCUCAACCUGGGAAUGGCAUCCGAUACUGGCAAGCUAGAGUAUAAGAGAGGGUGGAAGAAUUUCUAGUGUAGCGGUGAAAUGCGUAGAUAUUAGAAGGAAUACCGGUGGCGAAGGCGGCCACCUGGCUUGAUACUGACGCUGAGGUGCGAAAGCGUGGGGAGCAAACAGG